rnacentral:rRNA from 1 species
UACGGAGGGUGCAAGCGUUAUCCGGAUUCACUGGGUUUAAAGGGAGCGUAGGAGGGCAGGUAAGUCAGUGGUGAAAUCUUCGAGCUUAACUCGGAAACUGCCGUUGAUACUAUCUGUCUUGAAUACCGUGGAGAUGAGCGGAAUAUGUCAUGUAGCGGUGAAAUGCUUAGAUAUGACGCAGAACACCAAUUGCGAAGGCAGCUUGCUACACUACUAUUGACACUGAGGCACGAAAGCGUGGGGAUCAAACAGG